GAGAAGCGGAGGCCUCUCAGUUAAGACCACUGAAUAUAAAGAAAGAUGAUGAGUUUUUCCAUUUCGUCCUCCUCUGCUUUGCCAUUGGGGCGCUCCUGGUGUGUUAUCACUAUUAUGCAGGUACGCAGGGGCCCUGGGGCACGGGGAUGGCGGGGGGGGGGGGGGGGGGGUUGGGGGUGUGGCCCGGGGACCCCAGCCCGCUGGCUGACCACCCACUCCCUGCCCCUGCCCUCCCAGACUGGUUCAUCUCCCUCGGGGUCGGCCUGCUCACCUUCGCCUCCCUGGAGACGGUCGGCAUCUACUUCGGGCUGAUUUACCGGGUCCACUCCAUCCUGCAAGCCUUCAUCCCCCUCUUCCAGAAGUUGAGGCAGAUGGGGUUCAGGAAGAUCAACUGAGGCCCGCGGCAGGGGAGCCCCCGGGCCAGGCCCCAGCCGUGCGUCUGCACCCCCUGAGCCGCCGAGGACCGAGCACUGCUCCAGGAGCUGCCCCGACGGACAAGCCAGGGCGAUCAAGAGCGCGCUUUUCCUUCCACGGGGUCGGAACGCUGGCGCCGGCCUGGGCCGGGGCCUCCUCUGGGCAGGGCUGGCGUGCAAUCCAGUUGCCCAGGCGGGAGGCCGGCGGUGGCCUGAGCCCUUCCCGCUACCAGGACGGGCAGCAGGGGCCAGGAUGUCGCUGCUCUCAGGAGACAGGAGGAGGCCCCGGGCCUGCCAGCUGUCGCCUCUUUGGGCUUAGGGAUUCUCUCACCCCCCCCCCCCCCAGGCCAUCCCCGCGGGCUCUCACAUCCACAGGGCCAUCCCAGGACCAACAGACGAUCCGCUGCCCCGAGGCAGGGUGCCACCAGCCAGCACUCCCCAGGUGAACCUGGGCCCGGGGAGAUGUGGGGGACGAAAGUCACAGCGUCACCUUCCCUCAGCCUCGCCACCCAGCGCCAACCCCACUGCCCUGGACCCCCAUCAAGAUUCAAAUAAACUUUCUCUUCCCUGGACUAAAAAGAGUCAGCGUAACAUUCUUUUGGAUUUUUUGAGUGCCAGGACACGUUUGAGGUCUCCUUUGACCCUGUCUAGUCAAGGAAGUUGCCUUGUCCUACUGGAUAAAGUAUAGCAGGGCAUAAAUGUAAAACAUCUCGGGAAACGGACUUUGGCCCAGUGGUUAGGGCGUCUGUCUACCACAUGGGAGGUCUGCGGUUCAAACCCCGGGCCUCCUUGACCCGUGUGGAGCUGGCCCA
ensembl:lincRNA